GACGAACGCUGGCGGCGUGCUUAACACAUGCAAGUCGAACGGAAAGGCCCUUCGGGGUACUCGAGUGGCGAACGGGUGAGUAACACGUGGGUGAUCUGCCCUGCACUUUGGGAUAAGCCUGGGAAACUGGGUCUAAUGCCGAAUAGGACCACGGCAUUCAUGUGCUGUGGUGGAAAGCUUUUGCGGUGUGGGAUGGGCCCGCGGCCUAUCAGCUGGUUGGUGGGGUAAUGGCCUACCAAGGCGACGACGGGUAGCCGGCCUGAGAGGGUGACCGGCCACACUGGGACUGAGAUACGGCCCAGACUCCUACGGGAGGCAGCAGUGGGGAAUAUUGCACAAUGGGCGCAAGCCUGAUGCAGCGACGCCGCGUGAGGGAUGACGGCCUUCGGGUUGUAAACCUCUUUCAGUACCGACGAAGCGCAAGUGACGAUAGGUACAGAAGAAGGACCGGCCAACUACGUGCCAGCCGCCGCCGUAAGAC
rnacentral:rRNA from 1 species